GAUGAACGCUGGCGGCGUGCCUAACACAUGCAAGUCGAACGGAAAGGCGCUGCUUUUGUUGGGUGCUCGAGUGGCGAGCGGGUGAGUAUCACGCGAGUAUCCCGCCCUUGACUUUGUGAUAUAUUCAGGAAACUGCGGCUAAUACCGGAUAGGAGCUCCUGCAGCAUGGUGGGGGUUGGAAAGUUUCGGCGGUUGGGGAUGGACUCGCGGCUUAUCAGCUUGUUGGUGAGGUAGUGGCUUACCAAGGGUUCGAAGGAUAGGCCGCCUGGGAGGGUGACCAGCGACAAUGCGACUGAGAGAGGGCCCAGACGGCUACGGGAGGCAGCGGGCGGGAGUAUUGCACAGUGGGGGGAAGUCUGUGGCGGCGGCCCUCGGUGCGGAAUGACCGCUUUUGGGGUGUGAACCGCUUUCGCCUGUGACGUAGCGUGAGUGACGGUACCGGAUAAAGAAGCACCGGCUAACUACGUG
rnacentral:rRNA from 1 species